ensembl:lncRNA
AUGUUGGUCUCAGGUGGGGCUGGAGGGUACUGGGCUGGUCUUGGGGUCUCUACAAGAACUAAGGAAUGGGCUAGGCUGGGGCAGAGGGAGAUCAAAAAAGGGAGUGAAAGCAGCUUAGGGAUAUCUAUGGGGAAAAGAGGGGGCAGUGGGAUCUACAGGGUUAUAGGAGGUUUCUUCAAAGACAGCAGUCCUGGGAUCCUCUUCGCAGGGUUCUUCAGAGAGCUGAUCAGGCCCUUAUUACAGCCAGAGGUGCUGCUCAAGCUGUCUGGGUGUUUAGUGCAGCCACUGUCCUUCAAAUGCUGUCCAGAAGUGCUCCUGUGGAGAGAGGAGGUGGCUGAGGCCCCCAGCUGCCGCUGGCACACAGAGACCCUCCUGCACAGCAGGGCCCAGAGCGGCCAAGGCUCCCCAGCACAGCUGCAGCUGCUGGCACAGCUUGGCCCAGCUGGAGAGCUGCCCCUCAAGGCCCCAGCGAGCAGGGGAUGGCUCUGGGCAGGGUCCCUGGCCAGGAGCAGGCCCCAGAGCGUGUCUGCCUUUCAAGGGCAAUCUCAUUCCCGCUCUUUCUCCUGCCCACCUUGCUUUGCCUCUGCCUGCUGCUCCUGGGGCUGCUCUUGGCCAGGCAGCCUCAGUGGCAGCCAGCAUUGGCUGCAGCCCAAGUGGGCUCCCCAGGACAAGGCCCCGCAGUGAAGAGGCCAAAGAAAGCCCCAGGCAGCAGCAGAACUCUCAGCAGGGUUAUUUGGAAACCACUGACUACCCACAAGUCCACAGCAGCCUCCCUGGAAAUGUUUCCUGUCUGCAAUAGGCUUUCAAAAGAAGCUGUUGGAGGGAAAGAUGAGCAAAACACUCACCGUUUUCUCUUCCAGACAUAGCAGAUUCCAAAGCAGCACAACAUGAAGAUAAUCUCCAAACAAAGCACGCCUGCUAUUAGCUCUAUCCAGCAGAACAUUCCCUGACAGAAAGCCCUUUCAAUGACCUUCUGGGAACCAGGAACUUGUGUUGUGCUGGUUGCAUCUAUGGAAGCAAUGGGCAGUGUGAGUCCAUGCUGUGCUGCACUGCUGAGCUGGCAGCAUGCUGGGUAUAUCCCGUACAUUCUCUGUUUCCUCCAGGGCUGGGGUCUGCAUGCACCUUGCUGCCCCUUGGCACAGGCUGUGCCACCCAACAGAGCCCAGAAGGCCGGGAGCAGAGCCCGGGGACAGCGCAGCCACUUGGGCAGUGGCUCCUUCCAGGGACUCAGGCCAAAGCCAUCCCUGAGCAGCCACAGCCACCCCUGACCCUCCCUGCUCUGUGACAGCUCCCCCAGCCCAAGGGGACAGAGCCAGGCCCUGUCAGGAGCCAGUGCAGGCCGUGCCCAGUUGGGAGACAGGGCUGGCUGUGGCCCUGGCUCAUGUCAUGGCUCCCACUCAGGGCUGCUCCUGUGCCUUGGGCCUCUGGGCACUCAGGACCAGCUCUGGGAACAGCUGCAGAGGCAGUGAUGUUGUUCCUCAAGUCCCGUUUCCCAAGGGGUGGGAAUGAUCUCCAGAGGCCUCGGAGCUGAGGCACCUCCAGCUUUGGCUGCUGCUGGGCUGUGCAAGGGCCGGCCCUGUGGGGAGAGCUGCUGGCACACAGCCCCGCCGAGGGCUGAGCCCAGCACAGCAAUUACCUCCUGUGUCUGGACCCGUGCCUGGCAUCGCCUUCUUUCCUGUGGCAG